UACGAAGGGGGCUAGCGUUGCUCGGAAUCACUGGGCGUAAAGCGCACGUAGGCGGGUUCUUAAGUCAGGGGUGAAAUCCUGGAGCUCAACUCCAGAACUGCCUUUGAUACUGGGAAUCUCGAGUCCGGGAGAGGUGAGUGGAACUGCGAGUGUAGAGGUGAAAAUUCGUAGAUAUUCGCAAGAACACCAGUGGCGAAGGCGGCUCACUGGCCCGGUACUGACGCUGAGGUGCGAAAGCGUGGGGAGCAAACAGG
rnacentral:rRNA from 1 species